UUGGUAAAAACGGGAGAAGUCCCCGGAGAUCUUUSUAUCUCUUGRUCGCGUUUGCAUCGCGCCCCUGSCGGGGGCUGGUGGGGGGGCCAUGAUUAG
rnacentral:tRNA from 1 species